rnacentral:rRNA from 1 species
UACGAAGGGGGCUAGCGUUGUUCGGAAUUACUGGGCGUAAAGGGCGCGCAGGCGGCCCUCCAAGUCAGGCGUGAAAGCCCCGGGCUCAACCCGGGAACAGCGCUUGAGACUGGGGGGCUUGAGUUCGGGAGAGGAGAGUGGAAUUCCCAGUGUAGAGGUGAAAUUCGUAGAUAUUGGGAAGAGCACCGGUGGCGAAGGCGGCAUUCGUGGACCA